rnacentral:lncRNA from 1 species
CUAACGGAUUCUCUGGAUUGACUCAAAAGACUUAUUGAUUUAUAUUAUUUUUGUAUUCUUCUAUCUCUGAGAUUGCUUCGGCUAAACUCCAAUCUUGAUCGGCUAAUUUAUCAUAGGGUUGGCUCAGAAAAAAUAUUUUGAAUCUUCAUCUUUCUGACUUCAUCUUGAAUCUAAAAUUUAUUUGAUUAUUUAAAAGCUUGGGUUAGCUAAGAUUUUAUCUUGAUCGACUAAGAUAAAAGCUUGGUCGACUAAGAGAGCUUCUCUAAAUUUUUUUGAUUUUUAUCUUUUUCUUAGGCUG